rnacentral:rRNA from 1 species
GCUUAACACAUGCAAGUCGAGGGGCAGCAUGGUCUUAGCUUGCUAAGGCCGAUGGCGACCGGCGCACGGGUGAGUAACGCGUAUCCAACCUGCCUUACACUCUUGGACAGCCUUCUGAAAGGGAGAUUAAUACAAGAUGUUAUCAUGAGUAAGCAUUUUCACAUGAUUAAAGGUUUACCGGUGUAAGAUGGGGAUGCGUUCCAUUAGAUAGUAGGCGGGGUAACGGCCCACCUAGUCUUCGAUGGAUAGGGGUUCUGAGAGGAAGGUCCCCCACAUUGGAACUGAGACACGGUCCAAACUCCUACGGGAGGCAGCAGUGAGGAAUAUUGGUCAAUGGACGAGAGUCUGAACCAGCCAAGUAGCGUGAAGGAUGAAGGUUCUAUGGAUUGUAAACUUCUUUUAUACGGGAAUAAACGGAUCCACGUGUGGAUUUUUGCAUGUACCGUAUGAAUAAGGAUCGGCUAACUCCGUGCCAGCAGCCGCGGUAAUACGGAGGAUCCGAGCGUUAUCCGGAUUUAUUGGGUUUAAAGGGAGCGUAGAUGGGUUGUUAAGUCAGUUGUGAAAGUUUGCGGCUCAACCGUAAAAUUGCAAUUGAUACUGGCAGUCUUGAGUACAGUUGAGGUAGGCGGAAUUCGUGGUGUGGCGGUGAAAUGCUUAGAUAUCACGAAGAACUCCGAUUGCGAAGGCAGCUUACUAACCUGUAACUGACAUUGAUGCUCGAAAGUGUGGGUAUCAAACAGGAUUAGAUACCCUGGUAGUCCACACGGUAAACGAUGAAUACUCGCUGUAGGCGAUAUACAGUCUGCGGCCAAGCGAAAGCAUUAAGUAUUCCACCUGGGGAGUACGCCGGCAACGGUGAAACUCAAAGGAAUUGACGGGGGCCCGCACAAGCGGAGGAACAUGUGGUUUAAUUCGAUGAUACGCGAGGAACCUUACCCGGGCUUAAAUUGCAACCGAAUAUGGCGGAAACGCUAUAGCUAGCAAUAGCGGUUGUGAAGGUGCUGCAUGGUUGUCGUCAGCUCGUGCCGUGAGGUGUCGGCUUAAGUGCCAUAACGAGCGCAACCCUUGCCGAUAGUUACUAACAGGUCAUGCUGAGGACUCUGUCGGGACUGCCAUCGUAAGAUGUGAGGAAGGUGGGGAUGACGUCAAAUCAGCACGGCCCUUACGUCCGGGGCUACACACGUGUUACAAUGGGGGGUACAGAGGGCUGCUACCACGCAAGUGGAUGCCAAUCCCAAAAACCUCUCUCAGUUCGGAUUGAAGUCUGCAACCCGACUUCAUGAAGCUGGAUUCGCUAGUAAUCGCGCAUCAGCCACGGCGCGGUGAAUACGUUCCCGGGCCUUGUACACACCGCCCGUCAAGCCAUGGGAGCCGGGGGUACCUGAAGUGCGUAACAGCAAGGAGCGCCCUAGGGUAAAACUGGUGACUGGGGCUAAG